CCGGUCAUCGCCGGACCGGCUGCCGGACCAAAAUAACCAGCUUCCAGUCCGACUGUGCAAGCGCCUCAUUCACUUGGCACCAAAUACAUUUUCUAUUAUUUUAGUCAAUACAAUUUUUUUUAUUUUCUGACGGACAUCUUGAUUUCGUGGACGAGCUCCAUUAAGCCUCCCGUUCGCUCAACCGUUCCAUCUAGCCUUCCAUGAAGCCUGAUUCCCAGCUCUAAAAUUAUCAGUCUUUGAUAUUGCUCAUAUACCUAACGUAGAUAUCAUAUAGCUGCGCGCAAUGGAGCAGAUGUAUGACAAUGCGCGCCAUGGCGGCAAUCUCGUAUGGGUCGCGGCUGCAGGGCAGGAGGUCGAGGAUGCAGUGGAGCAUGCAGUAGAGGAGCCGCCUCAGUAAGCUUACUUCAUCCUACUGUGCCUUGGUUUCAUGGUGGAUGGCGUUACUUCCUUGAGCUGGAGGCUAUUGUCACCCCUGUGCACCCUGAGAUGUACAAAUCUCCUGUAAAGGCAGAGCAAAAGGUGACUCUCCGAAGAGUUCUGGCUAGCGGGGCUGGGGAGGCGGCAGCAGCGGUGCAGAGUGGUGGAACGGGUGGCGGGGCUGGGGAGGCGGCAGCGGCGGUACAGACUAGGUGGAACAGGC
rnacentral:lncRNA from 1 species